AGAUAAAGAUCUGGACUGCUGGGCCAGAAACCUUGCCAUCAAUGGUCUGCAACUUCUGGGUGUGAAGUGCACAUGACAAUGUGCAUCACAGACUGUGGGAUUUAUUUAAAACAAACAGAACCGUUGAGCCAAUGACAUAAGCAGACUGAAGGUGUAAAGUCUCAAUAAUACUGUGUCAUCUACAACGCCUUCUUCAGACAUUUGGGAACGGUUCUAAAAACAAAGACUGCACCAGAAUGAUCAAGAGACCAAAGUUGUUGUUUUUCAGAGAAGACCUCACAAACAACUGGACACAACAUGUAGAGUUUACAAAGGAGAAAGUGCCAGAAAAUA